GGCCCAGUAACUUAGUGGUUAGAGCUCCUGGCGCAUCUCCAGAAGGUCCUGGAUUCAAACCCCAUCUUGACCA